rnacentral:lncRNA from 1 species
UUAGUUUUUUUCUAUUUUUUUGUUAAAUUAGAUAGUUAGUUUAUUAGGUAGAAAAAAGUAGUUAGAAAAGAAAAAAAAUAGAUAGAAAAGACAAAACUUAGAAGAAAAUAAGAGAAAAAAAAGUAGAAGAAAAAAGAAGAAGAAGAAGAAGAAGAAGAAAGAGGUGAGGAGGAGAAAGAGAAAAGAAAGAUUUAGAAGAAAAG